rnacentral:miRNA from 2 species
UCUUCCCAAUUCCGCCCAUUCCUA